rfam:Secondary endosymbiont of Ctenarytaina eucalypti chromosome, complete genome.
CCUGGCGGCACUAGCGCAGUGGUCCCACCUGAUCCCAUACCGAACUCAGAAGUGAAACGCUGUAGCGCCGAUGGUAGUGUGGGGUCUCCCCAUGUGAGAGUAGGGAGCCGCCAGGU